rnacentral:rRNA from 1 species
GUCGACGAGUCUCUGGGGGGUAACUCCUAGAGGAAAGUGGCGAAAGGGGCAGUAAUGUAUGGGUAACCUACCUUGAGGUCUGGGAUAGCCAUUCUAACGGAUGGGUAAUACUGGACGGCCUAAGUUGUCGGCAUCGACGAUUUAGUAAAGGUUACGCCUCGAGAGGGGCCCAUAUGAUAUUAGCUAGUUGGUGGGGUAAUGGCCCACCAAGGCAAAGAUGUCUAGCGGGUGUGAGAGCACGACCCGCGUCAUUGGCACUGAGACACUGGCCAAACUCCUACGGGAGGCUGCAGUCGAGGAUCUUCGGCAAUGGACGAAAGUCUGACCGAGCAACGCCGCGUGUGCGAUGAAGGCCUUCGGGUUGUAAAGCACUGUCGAGGGGAAACAAGCCGUAAGGUUGAGUGACCCCUGGAGGAAGCACGGGCUAAGUUCGUGCCAGCAGCCGCGGUAAGACGAACCGUGCAAACGUUAUUCGGAAUCACUGGGCUUAAAGGGCGCGUAGGCGGGUGAUCAAGUCAAUGGUGAAAUCCUCCAGCUUAACUGGAGAAGUGCCUUUGAUACUGAUUGUCUAGAGGGAGGUAGGGGCAUGUGGAACUUCAGGUGGAGCGGUGAAAUGCGUAGAUAUCUGAAGGAACGCCAGUGGCGAAAGCGAUGUGCUGGACCUCUUCUGACGCUGAGGCGCGAAAGCUAGGGGAUCAAACGGGAUUAGAUACCCCGGUAGUCCUAGCCCUAAACUAUGGGUACUAGAUU